GUCUCUGUGGGGCACAAUCUGUUAGCGCGUUCGGCUGUUAACCGAAAGAGGGGUGGUUCGAGCCCAGCCAGGGAUG
rnacentral:tRNA from 1 species